UACAGAGGUGCCAAGCGUUAGGCGGAAUCACUGGGCUUAAAGCGCGUGUAGGCGGGUCGUUAAGUGUCCGCGUGAAAUCCCACGGCUCAACCGUGGAACUGCCGGGCAUACUGGCGAUCUUGAGGCAUUCAGGGGCGAGCGGAACAAAUGGUGGAGCGGUGAAAUGCGUAGAUAUCAUUUGGAACGCCAAUGGUGAAAACAGCUCGCUGGGAAUGAUCUGACGCUGAGACGCGAAAGCCAGGGGAGCAAACGGG
rnacentral:rRNA from 1 species